rnacentral:rRNA from 1 species
CCUACGGGUGGCAGCAGUGGGGAAUAUUGCACAAUGGGGGAAACCCUGAUGCAGCGACGCCGCGUGAAGGAAGAAGUAUUUCGGUAUGUAAACUUCUAUCAGCAGGGAAGAAAAUGACGGUACCUGACUAAGAAGCCCCGGCUAACUACGUGCCAGCAGCCGCGGUAAUACGUAGGGGGCAAGCGUUAUCCGGAUUUACUGGGUGUAAAGGGAGCGUAGGCGGUAAUGCAAGUCAGAAGUGAAAGCCCGGGGCUCAACUCCGGGACUGCUUUUGAAACUGUGUUGCUAGAUUGCAGGAGAGGUAAGUGGAAUUCCUAGUGUAGCGGUGAAAUGCGUAGAUAUUAGGAGGAACACCAGUGGCGAAGGCGGCCUGCUGGGCUUUUACUGACGCUGAGGCUCGAAAGUGUGGGGAGCAAACAGGAUUAGAUACCCGUGUAGUC